rnacentral:rRNA from 1 species
GACGAACGCUGGCGGCGUGCCUAAUACAUGCAAGUAGGACGCAGGUGCGAACGGGUGAGUAACGCGUAGGUAACUACCUAGUAAAGGGGGAGAACUAAUGGAAACGAUAGCUAAUAACGCAUAAUAGUCGAUGGACCUGCAGUGUGGUAGCUAGUAGGUAGAGUAAUGGCCUACCUAGGCAACGAUACAUAGCCGACCUGUGCUGGUGUACGGCCACACUGGGACCGAGACACGGCCCAGACUCCAACGUGAGGUAGCAGGAGGGAAUCUGCGGCAAUGGGGGGAACCCUGACCGAGCAACGCCGCGUGAGUGAAGUAGGUUUUCGGAUCGUAAAGCUCUGGUGUUAAGGAAGCGGUACUUAACCAGAAAGGGACGGCUAACUACGUGCCAGCAGCCGCGGUAAGUC